rnacentral:rRNA from 1 species
UGCAGUCGAGCGGUAGCACAGGAGAGCUUGCUCUCCGGGUGACGAGCGGCGGACGGGUGAGUAAUGUCUGGGAAACUGCCUGAUGGAGGGGGAUAACUACUGGAAACGGUAGCUAAUACCGCAUAACGUCUUCGGACCAAAGUGGGGGACCUUCGGGCCUCGUGCCAUCAGAUGUGCCCAGAUGGGAUUAGCUAGUAGGUGGGGUAAUGGCUCACCUAGGCGACGAUCCCUAGCUGGUCUGAGAGGAUGACCAGCCACACUGGAACUGAGACACGGUCCAGACUCCUACGGGAGGCAGCAGUGGGGAAUAUUGCACAGUGGGCGCAAGCCUGAUGCACCCGUGCCGCGUGUGUGAAGAAGGCCUUCGGGUUGUAAAGCACUUUCAGCGAGGAGGAAGGGUUCCGUGUUAAUAGCACUGUGUAUUGACGUUACUCGCAAAAGAAGCACCGGCUAACUCCGUGCCAGCAGCCGCGGUAAUACGGAGGGUGCAAGCGUUAAUCGGAAUUACUGGGCGUAAAGCGCACGCAGGCGGUUUGUUAAGUCAGAUGUGAAAUCCCCGCGCUUAACGUGGGAACUGCAUUUGAAACUGGCAAGCUAGAGUCUUGUAGAGGGGGGUAGAAUUCCAGGUGUAGCGGUGAAAUGCGUAGAGAUCUGGAAGAAUACCGGUGGCGAACGCGGCCCCCUGGACAAAGACUGACGCUCAUGUGCGAAAGCGUGGAGAGCAAACAGGAUUAUAUACUCUGGUAGUCCACGCUGUAAACGAUGUCCACUUGGAGGUUGUGCUCUUGAGGCGUGU